AUUGAACGCUGGCGGCAUGCCUUACACAUGCAAGUCGAACGGUAACGCGGGGCAACCUGGCGACGAGUGGCGAACGGGUGAGUAAUGCAUCGGAACGUGCCCAGUAGUGGGGGAUAGCCCGGCGAAAGCCGGAUUAAUACCGCAUACGACCUACGGGUGAAAGGGGGGGAUCGCAAGACCUCUCGCUAUUGGAGCGGCCGAGGUCGGAUUAGGUAGUUGGUGGGGUAAAGGCCCACCAAGCCUUCGAUCUGUAGCUGGUCUGAGAGGACGACCAGCCACACUGGGACUGAGACACGGCCCAGACUCCUACGGGAGGCAGCAGUGGGGAAUUUUGGACAAUGGGCGCAAGCCUGAUCCAGCCAUGCCGCGUGCGGGAAGAAGGCCUUCGGGUUGUAAACCGCUUUUGUCAGGGAAGAAACGCUCUGGGCUAAUACCUCGGGGUAAUGACGGUACCUGAAGAAUAAGCACCGGCUAACUACGUGCCAGCCGCCGCAGUAAUAC
rnacentral:rRNA from 1 species